rnacentral:lncRNA from 1 species
CAAGUGAAAGUGAAACAGAAUUCUCUGAAAACGAACUUUAUUGUUCUUCUCACACAGUGACAGAUGUUUCGGAGAGCGAUAGUGAGAAUGGUGAUCUUGAGGCUCUUCCUUACCAAUUUGAGCCAGUGAUACCACAUAGAAGGGGAUAGCAAAAGCAAAAUGAUCCGCACGAUCCAGAACCCGGCGACGAACGACUGUUGAGCACGAACUGGUGUUCGUGCAAUCAUUGUAGAAGAAUGCCAACAGUAAUGGAGUGUAAGUGUUGCCAGGAGGUUGAAACAAUUACCAGGAAGAUUGACGACUUCAAUUUGAAAAAGGAGUCAGAUGUGGGCUGUAUAACUGAAGAUCCUGGCUUCAGGCCUGUUUGUCUGGACGAGUUUUUUUUUUUUUUUUUUUUUUUUUUUUUUUUU